CGAAACGGACGCUCAAGCGUCGACCUCAACUUCCUGUGAGCGAAAAGGCUUGCCUCGGCGCCUCGUGCGCCGGAAAUAUGCCGACCUGCCUUUGAGUCUGAGACAAAACAAGGUUUA
rnacentral:misc_RNA from 1 species